rnacentral:rRNA from 1 species
AUUGAACGCUGGCGGAAUGCUUUACACAUGCAAGUCGAACGGCAGCACGGACUUCGGUCUGGUGGCGAGUGGCGAACGGGUGAGUAAUGUAUCGGAACGUGCCCAGUCGUGGGGGAUAACGUAGUGAAAAUUACGCUAAUACCGCAUACGAUCUAUGGAUGAAAGCGGGGGAUCGCAAGACCUCGCGCGAUUGGAGCGGCCGAUAUCAGAUUAGGUAGCUGGUGGGGUAAAGGCCCACCAAGCCAACGAUCUGUAGCUGGUCUGAGAGGACGACCAGCCGCACUGGAACUGAGACACGGUCCAGACUCCUACGGGAGGCAGCAGUGGGGAAUUUUGGACAAUGGGCGAAAGCCUGAUCCAGCCAUUCCGCGUGCAGGAUGAAGGCCCUCGGGUUGUAAACUGCUUUUGUACAGAACGAAAAGGUUUCUACUAAUACUAGGAGCUCAUGACGGUACUGUAAGAAUAAGCACCGGCUAACUACGUGCCAGCAGCCGCAGUAA